AUCUCAAAAGAAACAUAAAGAGAAAACUUCCAAUCGAAACACAUUCCUUCACAUAGUAACCUCCUCCGUCUAUGAGAAAAGCUGCAUGUCAUUGAUAGCGUGUGUGUUUUACUAUGUCCUGCACGUCACUAAAGGUCGUCAUCCUCCUCCACACACAGACUGACUGAUCUACAAAUCACUUUGCCUAACAAAUACAUAUCUAUUGUUACUUGCAGAUCAGUCAGUCUGUCACCAUUUACCAACAAUGCACUAUUAGUCUGUAAUUUCCUUGUUCAUGUUGUUGUGUGCAACUCCAGUCCUUAAAGGCUACAGUGUCUACAUGUUUUGAUCAAUGUAGAUCAUUGACUAGUUAGGACCUCCUCUCACCUGAUUGUCUGUCUUAACAGGAUUUCAUCAAAUCCUUUACGUCCCUCCUAGGGUCCCUCUCUCCUUCUUCCAAGGAGAAGUCACAAGAUGAAUACAGAUUAAGUGGCAAUGUGUAUUUCUUUGAAGAUGCAAAGAGGAAAAAUGGGAAUAUAUAGCCUAAUGUAUAGGUGGCUAAAAUAAUAAGGACGAACUGGCGACCUACCUGUUAUCUGUCCAGGGUCCAGACAUCUGGUGUGAGCGAAAAAUCUAUAAACCACAAGUGUCACAUGGCCGGAUAAGAAAAACAGAAAAGAAAAAUCAUCCAAGAAGAAAUACAAAUCAACAAGUGAUAUAUGCUUUUGUCUCCCCCUUUUGACAAAAACAGGAUAAGACUUUACUGUUUAUUGACAUGUAAGAUACAACUUUGGUCAUGGAAAACAGAGUAAAGCAGAGCAAAGCAUUAUUAUAAACCAUCUGGUCCUCUCAGCACCUCCUAU